rnacentral:tRNA from 1 species
GCCUUGGUGGCUCAGUUGGCUAAGCGCCUGACUUCGGCUCAGGUCACGAUCUCACAGUUUGUGAGUUUGAGCCUCGCAUCAGGCU